rnacentral:rRNA from 1 species
GAUGAACGCUGGCGGCGUGCCUAAUACAUGCAAGUCGAGCGAACAGACGAGGAGCUUGCUCCUUUGACGUUAGCGGCGGACGGGUGAGUAACACGUGGAUAACCUACCUAUAAGACUGGGAUAACUUCGGGAAACCGGAGCUAAUACCGGAUAACAUGUUGAACCGCAUGGUUCAACAGUGAAAGACGGUCUUGCUGUCACUUAUAGAUGGAUCCGCGCCGCAUUAGCUAGUUGGUAAGGUAACGGCUUACCAAGGCAACGAUGCGUAGCCGACCUGAGAGGGUGAUCGGCCACACUGGAACUAAGACACGGUCCAGAAACCUAAGGGAGGCAGCAGUAGGGAAUCUUCCGAAAUGGGCGAAAGCCUGACGGAGCAACGCCGCGUGAGUGAAGAAGGUCUUCGGAUCGUAAAACUCUGUUAUUAGGGAAGAACAAAUGUGUAAGUAACUAUGCACGUCUUGACGGUACCUAAUCAGAAAGCCAAGGCUAACUACGUG